rnacentral:SRP_RNA from 1 species
CCGUGCUAGUCGGGGCGUUAGCGGUGCCUUGUAGCCCACAAUCCGCUAUAGUGGGGACGAUGCCUGUUUGAGGUAUUUGUUUUGUAUGGUCUGCCCUUUUGCGUUGGUGUUGAAGAUGGAGUCCUGUGCAACAAAAACUUAUGAACCGUGUCAGGGUCGGAAGACAGCAGCACUAAGUAAGCACUUUUGUGUGCCCCAGGGUAGCUUGAUUGGAGCCGACAAGGAAGGUAACGUGUGGAAAGCAAUAUCGAGGAUAGGUGCACGG